GAUAAACGCUAGCGGCAGGCCUAACACAUGCAAGUCGAGGGGUAACGAUGUCUUCGGACAGGCGACGACCGGCGCACGGGUGAGUAUCGCGUUUGUAACCUACCUUUAACUGGAGAAUAGCCCGAAGAAAUUCGGAUUAAUACUCCAUAAUACUAUGAACUGGCAUCUUUUUAUAGUUAAAGCUCCGGCGGUUAAAGAUGGGCAUGCGUAACAUUAGAUUGUUGGUGAGGUAACGGCUCACCAAGUCUACGAUGUUUAGGGGGUCUGAGAGGAUGGUCCCCCACACUGGUACUGAGACACGGACCAG
rnacentral:rRNA from 1 species